rnacentral:rRNA from 1 species
UACGGAGGGUGCGAGCGUUGUCCGGAAUCACUGGGCGUAAAGGGCGCGUAGGCGGCCCGGUAAGUAGGAGGUGAAAUCUUGCGGCUUAACCGCAAGGCUGCCUUCUAAACUGCCAGGCUUGAGCACAGUAGAGGCAGGUGGAAUUCCCGGUGUAGCGGUGGAAUGCGUAGAGAUCGGGAAGAACAUCGGUGGCGAAGGCGGCCUGCUGGGCUGUUGCUGACGCUGAGGCGCGACAGCGUGGGGAGCAAACAGG